CCUACGGGUGGCUGCAGUGGGGAAUCUUGCACAAUGGGCGAAAGCCUGAUGCAGCCAUGCCGCGUGAAUGAUGAAGGCCUUAGGGUUGUAAAAUUCUUUCGUCAGGGAUGAUAAUGACCGUACCUGAAGAAGAAGCCCCGGCUAACUUCGUGCCAGCAGCCGCGGUAAUACGAAGGGGGCUAGCGUUGUUCGGAAUUACUGGGCGUAAAGCGCACGUAGGCGGACUUUUAAGUCAGGUGUGAAAUCCCGGGGCUCAACCUCGGAACUGCAUUUGA
rnacentral:rRNA from 1 species